rnacentral:rRNA from 1 species
ACUCCUACGGGAGGCAGCAGUGAGGAAUAUUGGUCAAUGGGCGAGAGCCUGAACCAGCCAAGUAGCGUGAAGGAUGACUGCCCUAUGGGUUGUAAACUUCUUUUAUAAGGGAAUAAAGUCGGGCACGUGUGCCUUUUUGUAUGUACCUUAUGAAUAAGGAUCGGCUAA